rnacentral:rRNA from 1 species
GAUCCUGGCUCAGAUUGAACGCUGCGGCAUGCCUUACACAUGCAAAGUCGAACGGGCAGCACGGGAGCAAUCCUGGUGGCGAGUGGCGAACGGGUGAGUAAUAUAUCGGAACGUGCCCAGUCGUGGGGGAUAACGUAGAGAAAUUUACGCUAAUACCGCAUACGAUCUAAGGAUGAAAGCGGGGGGAUUCGCAAGAACCUCGCGCGAUUGGAGCGGCUGAUAUCAGAUUAGGUUGUUGGUGAGGUAAAAGCUCACCAAGCCGACGAUCUGUAGCUGGUUUGAGAGAACGACCAGCCACACUGGGACUGAGACACGGCCCAGACUCCUACGGGAGGCAGCAGUGGGGAAUUUUGGACAAUGGGCGAAAGCCUGAUCCAGCAAUGCCGCGUGCAGGAAGAAGGCCUUCGGGUUGUAAACUGCUUUUGUACGGAACGAAAAGGCUCUUUCUAAUAAAGAGGGCCCAUGACGGUACCGUAAGAAUAAGCACCGGCUAACUACGUG